GUAGGUGGCAAGCGUUGUCCGGAAUUAUUGGGCGUAAAGCGCGCGCAGGCGGUUCUUUAAGUCUGAUGUGAAAGCCCACGGCUCAACCGUGGAGGGUCAUUGGAAACUGGAGAACUUGAGUACAGAAGAGGAAAGCGGAAUUCCACGUGUAGCGGUGAUAUGCGUAGAGAUGUGGAGGAACACCAGUGGCGAAGGCGGCUUUCUGGUCUGUAACUGACGCUGAGGCGCGAAAGCGUGGGGGAGCAAACAGGAUUAGAUACCCUGGUAGUCCACGCCGUAAACGAUGAGUGCUAAGUGUUAGGGGGUUUCCGCCCCUUAGUGCUGCAGCUAACGCAUUAAGCACUCCGCCUGGGAGUACGGCCGCAAGGCUG
rnacentral:rRNA from 1 species